UUGGAGGGCAAGUCUGGUGCCAGCAGCCGCGGUAAUUCCAGCUCCAAUAGCGUAUAUUAAAGUUGUUGCAGUUAAAAAGCUCGUAGUUGAAUUUCGGGGUCAGUAGAUUGGUCAUGCCACUGGUAUGUACUGGUCUCACUGAUUCCUCCUUCCUGAUGAGCCGUAAUGCCAUUAAUUUGGUGUUGCGAGGAAUCUGGACUGUUACUUUGAAAAAAUUAGAGUGUUUAAAGCAGGCUAACGCUUGAAUACAUUAGCAUGGAAUAAUGAAAUAGGACGUUCGAUCUUAUUUUGUUGGUUUCUAAGAUUGACGUAAUGAUUAAUAGGGAUAGUUGGGGGCAUUAGUAUUCAAUUGUCAGAGGUGAAAUUCUUGGAUUUAUUGAAGACUAACUACUGCGAAAGCAUUUGCCAAGGAUGUUUUCAUUAAUCAAGAACGAAAGUUAGGGGAUCGAAGACGAUCAGAUACCGUCGUAGUCUUAACCAUAAACUAUGCCGACUAGGGAUCGGAUGAUAUUAAUUUUUUAAUGACUCAUUCGGCGCCUUACGGGAAACCAAAGUGUUUGGGUUC
rnacentral:rRNA from 1 species